UACGUAGGGUGCGAGCGUUGUCCGGAAUUAUUGGGCGUAAAGGGCUCGUAGGCGGUUUGUCGCGUCGGGAGUGAAAACACCGGGCUUAACUCGGUGCUUGCUUUCGAUACGGGCAGACUAGAGGUAUGCAGGGGAGAACGGAAUUCCUGGUGUAGCGGUGAAAUGCGCAGAUAUCAGGAGGAACACCCGUGGCUAAGGCGGUUCUCUAGUACGGUACUGACGCUGAGACGCGAAAGCGUGGGGAGCGAACAGG
rnacentral:rRNA from 1 species